UACGAGUGCUCCAAGCGUUAUCCGGAAUCAUUGGGGCGUAAAGGGUGUGUAGGCGGUCAUGUUAGUCCUGUGUCAAAUUCUUCGGCUUAACCGGGGGCUCGCGCGGGAGACGGCAUGACUCGAGGAUGGGAGAGGUGUAUGGAACUCAUAGUGUAGGGGUGAAAUCCGUUGAUAUUAUGGGGAACACCGAAUGCGAAGGCAAUACACUGGCCCACUCCUGACGCUGAAACACGAAAGCGUGGGUAGCGAAUGGG
rnacentral:rRNA from 1 species